rnacentral:rRNA from 1 species
AACGAACGCUGGCGGCAUGCCUAACACAUGCAAGUCGAACGAGACCUUCGGGUCUAGUGGCGCACGGGUGCGUAACGCGUGGGAACCUGCCCUUAUGUUCGGCAUAACUCCCCGAAAGGGGUGCUAAUACCGGAUAAUGUCUUCGGCCCAAAGAUUUAUCGCCUUUGGAUGGGCCCGCGUUGGAUUAGCUAGUUGGUAGGGUAAAAGCCUAUCAAGGCGACGAUCCAUAGCUGGUCUGAGAGGAUGAUCAGCCACACUGGGACUGAGACACGGCCCAGAAUCCUACGGGAGGCAGCAGUGGGGAAUAUUGGAAAAUGGGCGAAAGGCUGAUCCAGCAAUGACGGGUGAGUGAUGAAGGCAUUAGGGUUGUAAAGCGCUUUUAACCGGGAUGAUAAUGACAGUACCGGGAGAAUAAGCCCCGGCUAACUACGUG